rnacentral:rRNA from 1 species
GAAGUGGCGGGCGUUAUCCGGAUUCACUGGGUUUAAAGGGUGCGUAGGCGGGUAGGUAAGUCCGUGGUGAAAUCUCCGAGCUUAACUCGGAAACUGCCGUGGAUACUAUUUGUCUUGAAUAUCGUGGAGGUGAGCGGAAUAUGUCAUGUAGCGGUGAAAUGCUUAGAUAUGACAUAGAACACCAAUUGCGAAGGCAGCUCACUACACUAUUAUUGACGCUGAGGCACGAAAGCGUGGGGAUCAAACAGGAUUAGAUACCCUGGUAGUCCACGCCCUAAACGAUGAUUACUCGACAUCAGCGAUACACUGUUGGUGUCUGAGCGAAAGCAUUAAGUAAUCCACCUGGGAAGUACGACCGCAAGGUUGAAACUCAAA